GACGAACGCUGGCGGCGUGCCUCAUACAUGCAAGUAGAACGCUGAAGGAGGAGCUUGCUCUUCUGGAUGAGUUGCGAACGGGUGAGUAACGCGUAGGUAACCUGCCUGGUAGCGGGGGAUAACUAUUGGAAACGAUAGCUAAUACCGCAUAACAGUAGAUGUUGCAUGACAUUUACUUAAAAGGUGCAAUUGCAUCACUACCAGAUGGACCUGCGUUGUAUUAGCUGGUUGGUGGGGUAACGGCUCACCAAGGCGACGAUACAUAGCCGACCUGAGAGGGUGAUCGGCCACACUGGGACUGAGACACGGCCCAGACUCCUACGGGAGGCAGCAGAAGGGAAUCUUAGGCAAUGGACGGAAGUCUGACCGAGCAACGCCGAGUGAGUGAAGAAGGUUUUCGGAUCGUAAAGCUCGGUUGUAAGAGAAGAACGAGUGUGAGAGUGGAAAGUUCACACUGUGACGGUAUCUUACCAGAAAGGGACGGCUAACUACGUG
rnacentral:rRNA from 1 species